rnacentral:rRNA from 1 species
UACGUAGGGGCAAGCGUUGUCCGGAAUCAUUGGGCGUAAAGCGCGUGUAGGCGGCUUGGUAAGUCUGCUCUGAAAGCCCGGGGCUCAACCCCGGGAGGCGGUGGAUACUGUCAAGCUCGAGUCCGGAAGAGGAGUGUGGAAUGCUGGUGUAGCGGUGAAUGCGCAGAUAUCAGAGAACACAAUGGCGAAGGCAGCACUCGUGGACGUGACUGACGCUGAGACGCGAAGCGUGGGGAGCAAACAGGAAUGAG